UACAGAGGGCGCGAGCGUUGUCCGGAAUCACUGGGCGUAAAGCGCACGUAGGCGGAUUGCUAAGUUAGGGGUGAAAUCCUGGAGCUCAACUCCAGAACUGCCUUUGAUACUGGCGAUCUUGAGUCCGGGAGAGGUGAGUGGAACUGCGAGUGUAGAGGUGAAAUUCGUAGAUAUUCGCAAGAACACCAGUGGCGAAGGCGGCUCACUGGCCCGAUACUGACGCUGAGGCACGAAAGCGUGGGGAGCAAACAGG
rnacentral:rRNA from 1 species